AGAAGUUUAGGAUACCCAGU
rnacentral:tRNA from 1 species